rnacentral:rRNA from 1 species
GUCUUCGGAUUUAGAGACCGGCGCACGGGUGCGUAACGCGUAUGCAAUCUGCCUUUCACAGAGGGAUAGCCCAGAGAAAUUUGGAUUAAUACCUCAUAGUAUUACGACCCGGCAUCGGGAUGUAAUUAAAGUCACAACGGUGAAAGAUGAGCAUGCGUCCCAUUAGCUUGUUGGUAAGGUAACGGCUUACCAAGGCAACGAUGGGUAGGGGUCCUGAGAGGGAGAUCCCCCACACUGGUACUGAGACACGGACCAGACUCCUACGGGAGGCAGCAGUGAGGAAUAUUGGACAAUGGGCGCAAGCCUGAUCCAGCCAUGCCGCGUGCAGGAUGACGGUCCUAUGGAUUGUAAACUGCUUUUGUACGAGAAGAAACACUGAUUCGUGAAUCAGCCUGACGGUAUCGUAAGAAUAAGGAUCGGCUAACUCCGUGCCAGCAGCCGCGGUAAUACGGAGGAUCCAAGCGUUAUCCGGAAUCAUUGGGUUUAAAGGGUCCGUAGGCGGUCUUUGUAGUCAGUGGUGAAAGCCCAUCGCUCAACG